CCUCUAGUUGAUGAAAAAUGCGAGGAAGGAAGAGAAGCAAACAUCUUGCUGGCACUAGACUCUGUUUUCGAAGGAGGGGAGCUUCUAAAGCGUACAAGAAAAGGAGAUCUUCACUGGAAGCAAGUAUCUUUCAAUAUGAAUUCAAAUUUACAGGUUAUAGCAAAAAUGAAGAGCAAGCACAUGGCAGGAACAUUCACCAAAAAGAAGAAAUGUAUAGUCACCGGAGUCUGCAGUGAUGUCCAAGCUUGGCCGGGAAGAGAGAA